UACAGAGGGUGCAAGCGUUAAUCGGAAUUACUGGGCGUAAAGCGUGCGUAGUCGGUUAUUUAAGUCGGAUGUGAAAUCCCCGGGCUCAACCUGGGAAUUGCAUUCGAGACUGCAUUGCUAGAGUAUGGGAGAGGGAAGUGGAAUUUCCGGUGUAGCGGUGAAAUGCGUAGAUAUCGGAAGGAACAUCAGUGGCGAAAGCGACUUCCUGGACCAAUACUGACGCUCAUGUGCGAAAGCGUGGGGAGCAAACAGG
rnacentral:rRNA from 1 species